UUUUUUUAAUUGUUUUUUUCAACGUUUAUUUAUUUUUGGGACAGAGAGAGACAGAGCAUGAACGGGGGAGGGGCAGAGAGAGAGGGAGACACAGAAUCGGAAACAGGCUCCAGGCUCUGAGCCAUCAGCCCAGAGCCUGACGCGGGGCUCGACCUCACGGACUGCGAGAUCGUGACCUAGCUGAAGUCGGACGCUUAACCGACUGCGCCACCCAGGCACCCCUUGAUUCUGUUUUUUAAUGGCAGUGUAGUUGACAUACAAUUAGCUUCAGGUAUACAACAUAGUGAUUCAACACUACAUACAUUAGGAAAUGGUCAACACCAUAAAUCCACUACAGUCUGUCAUUAUACAGAGUUGUCACAGUAUUAUUAACUAUAUUCCCUAUGCUGUUCAGUGUAUCCUUGUGUCUUAUUUAUCAGUGGUCUUUGAUUCUUUUUUUUUUUUUUAAUUUUUUAACGUUUAUUUAUUUUUGAGAGAGAGAGACAGAGUGUGAGCGGGCAAGAGGUAGAGAGUGGGAGACACAGAACCCAAAGCAGGCUUCAGGCUCUGAGCUGUCAGCACAGAGCAUGACGUGGGGCUCAAACUCACUAACUGCGAGAUCAUAACCUGAGCUGAAGUCGGACGCUUAAGUGACUGAGCCCCCUGGGUGAUCUAGUGGUCUUUGAUUCUCAAACACACCUUUGCUGGGAGAGAGCCUAAAGCUGAGAGCAAUUUUCAUGGAGGACUAUUUGGUCCAUGGGUACAGAACACAUACGGAAACAACAAGGUAGAUUGUUCAAGGAAACUUAACUUCUUAUAAAGAAAGGGAUAGUUUAGCGUAUUAGCAGAACAUGACAUGAAUGUGAGUUCAUUGCAAGCAUAUCUAACAGUAGUAGGAUUUAUAGAAAUAUGUUCAUUGUCUAAUGUUCCAUAAGGAUAUGUGAUACAUCCAAAAUAAGGAGCAUAAAAUUAAGAAUCAGAAGACUUGGACUCAGGCAGAUUCAGCAACUGUCAGGUACAUGGCCUCAGCAAAUUAUUUACCAUUUCAGACACAGCCCAAGUAUCCCUCCUAUAAAAUGAGACUUAAAAGUGCCUGCUCCCACCCUACCUGACAAGUACUAUCAAAUUUGAGGAAUGAAUGAACUAUCAUAAAUUGAAGCAUUUGAAUCAUACCAUUAUCAUACAGAGCUAAAGAAUGUUUUUAAACACUUAAGCACCUUUAAAAAAAAAUUUUGAGCACCUACUUGGGACAAAGCACCGUUCUAGGUGCUGUGAAUUACAGAGGCGAGUAAGCCCUUCAAAGAGCUUUGUUUGUGAUUUUGAAAAUUAAAAUAAUAAAGUUACGGGUCAGACUGAAGGCUGAGGAUUCAUAUCGUGAAGAUUUUUCAAAUAUUCAAAGUUGGAAGGACCUACAUCCAAACAAACAGGAAAAUAAGCAAUUUCCUUUGGAGAGGUCCUUUUAGAUAAAGUAUUUGAAAAAUUCCAAAUAAGUACAAUGCAGUAGACACCCCUAAGAAUCAAUAUUGGAAAUCUGUCUUGAGCAAUAUGUAAAGCAAAUAAAUACAUGGGAGUUGAAUCAUGUGAUGUUUUUGUUGCUGUUGUUUUUAAUCUCAAAAGGACUGCUGACCUCUGCCGACACGCCUGUAUUUAGGAGAGGCACUUGCAGGAGCAAUCAGGUUUUCUUUACAAGUAAACUUUGGUUUCUACAAGUAGAAGACAGUAGAAUGAAUAGAAGCGCUUAUCUCCUUAGACUGUAACAAAAUGUUAACACAAAGGGGAGGGAUGUAACGCGGAUACAACUGGGAGAGGAGCAUCAGGGGAAGAAGAAAGAUUGCAACAAAUUUCUGGAGGUCAAGGAGAGGCUUGGCAAAGAGAACAGAGCAGACGAUGGUUAAUUUUAUGUGUGAACAGGGCUGUGGCGCCCAGGUGUUUGGGCAAACUCUAGUCUCUAUGCUGCUCUGAAGGUAUUCUGUAGAUGGGAUUACUAUUUCUUACCAUUUGACUUUAAGUAAAGGAGAUUACCCUCCAUAAUUCGAGGGGUGGUGUAUGUGCCUGGGCGUGUUAAUCCAAUCAGUUAAAAGCUUUAAUAGCAAAAUCUGAGGUCUCCCAGGGAAGGAAUUCUGCCGCAAGACUGUAACAUAGAAGUCCUGCCUGAGUCUCCAGCCUGCUGGCCGGCCCUGGGGAUUUAGGACUCCGAGACUUGCAACAUCAAGUCUUACCUGAAUUUCGAGCCCGUCGGCCUGAUCUACGGAUUUUGGACUUUCCAGCCCCUACAGUCGUGCGUGAGAGUCAGUGUCUCAAAAUAAAUCUAUCUCUAUCUCUGUCUCUCUCACUGUACCUACAUUUGUAUCUGUAGCUAAUUUUAUAUCUGUCAUUUACAUCUCUAUCUCUUUGGUUCCUUCCUCUGGAGAAGAACCCUGGCUGAUAGACACUGAGAGGUAAGAGCCUAGAACAUGUAGGAGAAAACUUUGGGAGAGUGGAAGGGUGGGAGGACGUCAGAGCUGCCUGGCAGUGUCCCAGGAAAACCCCUGCCUCACCGGGCACCUGCAGCUGAGAACGGGACUCCAAAGGGGGUGAAAAGGAGAGCGGUUCACUGGGCUGGCGGAGACUCCUCGUGUUUCUCUCCCCUCCCCACCCCUCGCCUUAGGUCCGUGCCCGAUGCUAGAAACCCCAAAUUUUACUUUUACAAGUCAAACUGUGCUAUAUGUAAGAUAUUAACAUUAGGGGAAGCUGGGUGAGGGACAUAUACAGAAAUUCUAUUUUUUGGUAACCUUUCUGUAAAUCUAAAAUGAGUUCAAAAUAAACCGUUAAAAAAAAAACUGGCAAGAACUAGAAGGGCUAGAAUAUGUGCCAACAUACUGUGCAGUAAAACCUUCUCCUCGGGCAUUUUAAGCACCAUUCCCGCCUCCCACCCCUGCCGCCAAACUCUUAACUAAAAGUCGAGCGCCUUCUUUUUUGUUUUUAAAAUUUUUUAUCUUUAAAAUUUUUUUAACAUUUGAGAGAGAGAGAGAGAGAGAGAGAGAGAAAACGAGAGCAUGAGUGGGGGAGGGGCAGAGAGAGAAAGAAGGAGACACAGAAUCCGAAGCAGGCUCCAGGCUCUGAGCUGUCAGCACAGAGCCCGACGCGGGGCCUGAACUCACGAACCUCGAGAUCAUAACCUGAGCUGAAGUCGGAGGCUUAACCGACUGAGCCACCCUCAUGCGCCCAAAUCUAGCCCCUUCUCAGUGUGGUUUCCAUUUUGGACGGGGGGCGGGGGGAGUACCAUGGCUUUUCAAUAUAAUCAUUUCUCCGUGCUACUUUAUUUCUUUAACUGAUACCUGGAUCAUUUUCACAAAAACUUAAAAGGAGAAAACGGAAAAGUUGGUUCACUUAGACAUGAAGGAGAUUGUACACACUUCACUGAUGAAGAAAAAAGCCUAUAAUACUAGGACUAGAGGGGAACAAUUUCAAAUGCAGAUGUAGAGGCUCAAGUAGCAAGACCAUUUGGAAGUUUCUGAAUUGACUUCUUUGUCAGAAAGCAAAGGAAGUUUUAAUGGCAAUUUAGCAACCCCUUCCCCUCCCCCAGAUGCUAUGGAUCUUGCCAGCAUACAAAUGCCAGAUCCCUGUAAAUUUAAGUGUAAAAAUGGAGCAAACGCUUCAAUGGGUUGGGACACAGACCCAACUCGACCCCUUCCCUUGGCUCAUCUUGACCCCUUCCCUCCGCUGAGGGGUGAGAUCUGUGCAGUAUUCAGUGCUACUAUGGACCAGCAAACAAUGCGUUGUGAACUACGUAAAGGAAAGAAACCUCUUACUGCUAGCACCGAUAUGAAUACGCGAAUCACGAUCCGUACAGCACAUCACUGAUACUUGUGAACAGCUUCCUCUUCUAUCAUGCUCUGAUCCUUAGCGUCUCCUGCAAUAAUAUCAACUUGCCCUAGGAAUAAGAAUGAAAUUUAGCAGCAUGAUGACGUCUUCUAUUACAGCAUUUUCUUGUCCCUAGUUUCAUUAUCGCUGUAUUCUUUCCCUUGGCAAAUGUACUCCAUGGCCUGCUAAAACGUCUAGCAUUGUGAACUCGCCAUAUGCCUAGCAAGCAAGAGUGCCCCCACAUCUCUCCCUGCACUUGCUGCCUCUCGGAAUCCACAGACGGGGCCUGCCAAUUGGGCCUUCUUCAGGCUGUGUGCAAUAUACCAAGGUAUCCUAUUUAUUGAUCUUCCCCAUUCUGUCCAAACUGGUGUCUAUAAGAAGAACGUCAAAUCAGCCCGAUGGAACACAAGACAUGUCUGACAAUGCUGUAGAGCCUUUCCCAGUACCUCUGAGGAGGACACAUGCUCGGGGAAGUAAGAACAGGUGCUUGCAACUCUGUGGCUGAUAGAGUGGAGUUGAGGGUAAAGUACAAAAGCCCCACAGAGUCGAGUGCCCUUGGCUGAAUGUUUUCCUUGGUCAGGAUCACUCCAUGAAUUCCUACUCAAACACAGGUGGUGCAUGGUUCCUACUUUGCUUCUCCUAGAGUUCUAACUGCUUGGAUGCCACAGGUUACAUGAUCCCCGGAGUCAAGCAAUUAUUUCAGACAGAGAAUUCAAGCCUGCCCUGUGCUUGUGUUUUCUAUAAAUGAAGAGAAAGGUUUACUGAGAAUCCACUAUAUGGAAAUAAAUGCUAAGGGCAGAUGGAAUGAGAAACUCGAAGAUGCAGCCUUUCAGCAGCCUACUACAGCUACCCAAGUAUGUCCAGUGGAAGGCGGAGUGUGAUGUGUGCUCCGGAGAAACCCUCCAUCCAAAAACCCCGUGAGUGAGGAAGGAAGGCAGGUCACCUGGCUGAGCUCUUCCCCUGCUGCCACCUAGGAGAGAGUCUGGUUGAAUCCAUCCAGAAGAACUGGGAAACCAGAGCUCCACAACCUACCUCUCCCAAUCACCACCACCCCCCACCACCAGAAAUUGCUUCUUCUGCUCUGAAGUAUGAAACCUACUGGUUACUCUUAUUUGGCAUCUGUGAUCAGACACAUUGUAUUUGAGUUCUUGGAUACAACACAGAUGAAAGAAACAGCCACAAUAGGAACUUAAGCAGCCAACUAGCAACCUGGUGAGUGAGUACUCUCCUUACAAAUAAAAGUUACCAACCAGAAAUUUUUACAACUUGCUCCCUAUAGCUAGGA